rnacentral:rRNA from 1 species
UGGCGAACGGGUGAGUAACACGUGAGUAACCUGCCCUUGACUUUGGGAUAACUUCAGGAAACUGGGGCUAAUACCGGAUAGGAGCUCCUGCUGCAUGGUGGGGGUUGGAAAGUUUCGGCGGUUGGGGAUGGACUCGCGGCUUAUCAGCUUGUUGGUGGGGUAGUGGCUUACCAAGGCUUUGACGGGUAGCCGGCCUGAGAUGGUGACCGGCCACAUUGGGACUGAGAUACGGCCCAG